rnacentral:rRNA from 1 species
AGAACGAACGCUGGCGGCAUGCCUAAUACAUGCAAGUCGAACGAACUCUUCGGAGUUAGUGGCGCACGGGUGCGUAACGCGUGGGAAUCUGCCCCUUGGUUCGGAAUAACAGUUGGAAACGACUGCUAAUACCGGAUGAUGACGAAAGUCCAAAGAUUUAUCGCCAAGGGAUGAGCCCGCGUAGGAUUAGCUAGUUGGUGAGGUAAAGGCUCACCAAGGCAACGGAUCCUUAGCUGGUCUGAGAGGAUGAUCAGCCACACUGGGACUGAGACACGGCCCAGACCCCUACGGGAGCAGCAGUAGGAUAUGACAAUGGCGAAGCCUGAUCCAGCAAUGGCCGCGUGAGUGAUGAAGGUCCUUAGGGUUGUAAAGCUUACUUUACCCGGAGAUAGAUAAUGUAACAGUAUACGGGAG